rnacentral:lncRNA from 1 species
UGGGUGCUUUCACUAACUCCACCUUCCUCCUUCUUAUGCGAAAGGAUCAUUAACAUCUUCCUCCUCUUUAUACCACAAUUCAUCUUUCUCAGCUCGCAAAAGGUGGACCUCCACUAUCUUUUGCACUUUUCCCCUUUUCCUUAUUUCUUCUGACCUCUUUUUCCUCUUUUGCAGAUAUUUGCUCCAGUGGAUGAAAUGGUUAUCAACGUGGUUUUGAUAGAGCGGCAAAAGGUCAUCUCCUCUACUGUAGCUUCGAAUAGAAAAGGAAAACCUCGUAAAAAUCACCGGAUUCAAGCUUUGUCCAUGUGAUUUUCAAUACUAAUGGCCUCCAAAAUAUCCUCCAUUUCUCUUUCAGUCUGAAAAGGUAACCCUAUCCCCCUUCUUUAAUUCUUUUCGCCAUUAAUUUCUAUCUUUUCCUUUGGUGAAUUAAUCUUUUAAUUGGUCUGAAAUUACAAAUUUUGAAUUCACUAAACUUUUUGAAGAAGUUGUUAUGCCCAAAACAUAUCUUAUAAAAGGGGUCCUUGCUCAACCCUUUAAAUGUCUAUGGUUGCAAAUUUUCAUUAAUAGAUCUACAAUCAUGAGAUCAUUUUAGUUGACACGUUUUGUUUAUGAAUUUUCUCUUUGAUGACAAAAUACUUUUAUUUCAUAAUUUUUGUACUUUUGAAGUAUUUGUCAUUUUAAAAAAAGAACACCACUACAAAAUAACCAUCAUUAAUUGCAGCAGCUAAUUGAUAAUAGCGUCGAUUAUUCAAGUCAUGAAAUGAAAUUUUGUAGUCAUAAUGCAUAAAUAGUGACUAUAAACAUUAUAUCACAAUUUUUUACUUUCAUAAUUGAUAAGAUUGAACUUUAAUACUUAACAUUGUUCCAUAUUACUGCUCGUUCACAUAAUGUAACAAAUACAAACAGUAUUAAAAAUAUAGCAAAGGUUUAGGUUAUAAAAAUGUGAUGUUGAUUACUGGUACUUAUUCUUGAUCAAUGAAAGGCCCUUGAAGCAAGUAAAGAAAGAAUUUAGAAUUGCUAUUUGGAGUACCAUGAUCUAUACACAUAAAAAGCAAACAACUUCAAAAAAAUUCAAGCCAAAAAUGUAGACAAGAAAGAUGCAAGUAUACAAAUACAAAAGGAGAUUAAAGAAAGGAUUGAACAUAUGAAGAACUCAAAAAAGCUAAUAAAUGUUUUUAUUUGAUUCAACAAUUUUAUAAUUAAAUAGGAUUACUGGUAAUAGGAAGUUGUAAUAAAUUCUUUCUAUUUUGGAGGUCAUAGGGAUAGGGCUUCCUUUCUGGAAAGUAGUAUCUCACUAUGUGUAUUUGUUUGUUCAAUGAUAAUAUUCUUAACUUAUUGAAAAAAAGAAGAAGAAAAAAAUCCAAAGCUCAUACAUUAAUAAUCAUUUUGACAAUUAUCUCUUUUAAAUCAUAUAAAUUAAAUCUUCUCUCUUAUGUCUUAACCCUCGCCUUUUUUUAUUACUACAUGAAAAAAUUGCCUUAUCUUAAAAUUCUUUUUUCACUUUAUUUCACUUUGACACGACUGAUACCAUCUACAAUUGUCGCAACACCACUAGCUACAUCAUCCCCCACAACUCUACCAUCAACCAAUGCAAAUGAUGAUGGUGCGACGAUAAUUGCAGAUGACAUUGAUCAUGUCGAAGUGAAGUGAAAAAGGGUUUUAUAAUAAGUCAAAAUUUCUAGAUUGUAAUGAAAAUAACAAGGUUUCAUUAAAACUUAAAAGAGAAAAUUCAAUUUAUAGAUCUAAAAAUGGGAGAAUGGUCAAGAUUGUUAUUAAUGUAAAUUGUAAAUAUUGUCAUUUUUUCUAGCAAAAUUACAGUCCAAUACAACGAAUAUUUUAAUUUACUAAAUUUCUAGAAGAAGUUGUUAUGUCCAAAAUAUACCUUAUAAAAGGGGUUCUUGUUCAUCUUUUUAAAUGUCUAUUGUUGCAAAUUUUCAUCGAUGGGAUCAAUCGAACACAUUGAAUCAGGGUAACAGAUCAACACUAGGGACUCAUUUAAAACUGCAAGCCCAUAACGUGGCCUCUUGAGAUAGUACAAAUGCUCGGCAUUUCUAUUUUGUAUGGGACACAUGAGCCUGAGUUUGGUUCUUUUUCGCGUUAUGGUGACCCCUAUUCAUCAUCUUCGUUUCCAUCUCAACGUUUUGAGGGGUAUGGAUCUUCUACGAUCAAGUCAAUACAGGAAAGAUCGGAUGCCACGCUGAGAGUAUUAUUUGUGGGUGACUGGACAUGCUCCUUUGGAAUGUUCAUUUCCCAGGCAACUAGUUUCAUCUUAGUUAUUAACUUAAAAUUUCAACAAAACAUAAGGUAUAUGGGAUCUCAUUUUAAAAUAAAAAAAUGUAGAGAUAAUUUCCCCCAAAUUUCUUGUUUAAAGAGAAACCCUUUUCCCCAAAUUAUAACAGAUGACCAUGCUAUUGAAACAACGUCUGUAUCUCUAUGAUGUUUGGAUUACACUGCAUAUAUUGUUGUUAUAAUAGAUGACCAUGCAUUACGAUUGUGAAAGUGUUUGGUCGAUCAUAGUAUGAUACCUAUAUUUGAAAACAUCGUAAGUUUGAUACUUUUGACCGAAGCUUAAUUGUCUAAAUAUGUUUUUACUAAGUACAUGUUCUACUGCCAGUACAAUGCAAAUAUCUCUCAAGAUUGACUAGCGGAGUCCUGGGCUGAUAAACCACUGUCCUCAAAGUUUCAGCCUGAAACCACAGUCCUCAAAGUUUCAGCCUGAAACCACAUUCCUCAAACCAGAAGGCUGAAACUUUGAGGACUGUGGUUUAUCAGCCCAAGACUCCGCUAGCCGAUCUUGAGAGAUAUUUGCAUUGUACUGGCAGUAGAACAUGUACUUAGUAAAAGCACAUUUAGACAAUCAGGCUUCAGUCAAAAGUAUCAAACUUACCAUCUUUUCAAAUAUAGGUAUCAUACUAUGAUCGACCAAAAACUUUCACAAUCAUAGUGCAUGGUCAUCUGUUAUAACAACAACAUAUGCAGUGUAAUCCAAACAUCAUAUAUAGAUAUACAGACGUUAUUCCAAUAGCAUGGUCAUCUGUUAUAAUUUGGGGAAAAAGGUUUUUCUUUAAACAAGAAAUUGGGGGAAAAUUAUCUCUACAUUUUUUUAUUUUAAAAUGAGAUCCCACAGGACUCAUGUUUUAUUGAAAUCAAUUUUAAGUUAAUAACUAAGAUGAAACUAGUUGCCUGGGAAAUGAACAUUCCAAAGGAGCAUGUGCAGUCACUGUAGUAGCAAUAACAUUUGAAGGUAUCUUACAUUAAGAGACAGCUAUAAGACAUAAAUCUCAUCCACAAAUAAUACUCUCAGCGUGGCACCCGUUCUUUCCUGUAUUGACUUGAUCGUAGAAGAUCCAUACCCCUCAAAACGCUGAGAUGGAAACAAAGAUGAUGAAUAGGGGUCACCAUAACGCGAAAAAGAACCAAACUCAGGCUCAUGCGUCCCAAACUCAGGCACAGUACAAAAACUACAAUACAAAUGACAAAAAAUAAACACUAAAAUAAUAGAAAGAUGAGAUUGUGCAAAUAUGGAAAGGUAUAAGAACUCAAACUGAAAGAAAUAUUGCUAAGUACUACCUGAUCUCCUCGGUGUAAUAUUUUGUUCUCCAAACUGUAUGCGAUGCUAUUUUUCCAGAUUUGAUUUGUGAUCCAACAUACUUCACAUAAAAAAAACAGAGCAGAAUCACCUUGACAAUGCUUGUAUUAGUUAAAUUUUAUCAAAAGGAACUAAAUUUAGGCAGCUAUAAUACCUGAUUGUCAGAAAGUAGUGCAACUUGUGUAUAGACCUCAUCAAACGUUGCAUAAUCGAACCCAUCGAAAUCAAAUUCUAAACAAGAAUUCAACAUUUACUACCAUCAAUACUAAACAGAGAAACCUACAAAGCAAAUAUUGUAAUCGAACCCAUCGAAAUCAAAUUCUAAACAAAAAUUCAACAUUUUCUACCAUCAAUACUAAACAGAGAAACUUACAAAGCAAAUAUUUUAACCAAUUUAUUCCAAAUUUUCAAUGAAAUUGACACUAAGCAGACGAAAAUUAUAUUAACUCAUAACUUUACAUCUACAAUGCGAUAUAAAUUCGGGUGAUGACCUCCACAAAUUGCAUAGAAAUUGGAGGGGUUACUCAACCCUCCACAAUAUGACGUAAUUAGGAGGGGUUAUAUUACCCUCCACAAUAAAAUCUCCUCAAUUUAAGGCUUUUUCUAUAGUGUCUUUUUGCAGAUAUUUGCUCCAGUGGAUGAAAUAGUUACCAACGCGGUUUUGAUAGAGCGGCAAAAGGUCAUCUCCUCUACUGUAGCC